UAAAAAAAAGUCACCACUGUGUUGUUGUAAAAUGGAAACGAAAGCUCCAUCCCUGACACAUCUCGAAAUGAAGCUUGAGGUAACCACCAUGAGAACACGAAGCCACCCGUAACCGCAACCACGUGCAGCUCUGUGUUGGUGUAAGCCCUAGAGGCUAAUACUUUUGGUACUUGUAUCGAAUUAUUUAUUAAUUAUAAAAGGAUUUUUCUUUAUUAUGUUUGUUUAAUAAAGUCCCUAG
rnacentral:lncRNA from 1 species